rnacentral:rRNA from 1 species
UACGUAGGGUGCAAGCGUUGUCCGGAAUUAUUGGGCGUAAAGAGCUCGUAGGCGGUUUGUCGCGUGUGCUGUGAAAACCCGAGGCUCAACCUCGGGCCUGCAGUGGGUACGGGCAGACUAGAGUGCGGUAGGGGAGAUUGGAAUUCCUGGUGUAGCGGUGGAAUGCGCAGAUAUCAGGAGGAACACCAAUGGCGAAGGCAGAUCUCUGGGCCGUAACUGACGCUGAGGAGCGAAAGCAUGGGGAGCGAACAGG